GCAUCAGUGGUGUAGCGGUAACAUUGGGUCUUCCCACCGCUUGCUUAUGUAAUGGCGAUUAUGUCAUGGCGAUUGGCCUAGCUCCGGGUUCGACUCCCGGCUGAUGCA